rnacentral:misc_RNA from 1 species
GAUGAAGAACGCAGCGAAAUGCGAUAAGUAAUGUGAAUUGCAGAAUUCAGUGAAUCAUCGAAUCUUUGAACGCACCUUGCGCUCCUUGGUAUUCCAAAGAGCAUGCCUGUUUGAGUAUCAUUAAAUUAUCAACUGUACCAAUUUGGUUGCAGAUUGGAUGUGGGAGAUUUUGCAGGCUUUUGAUUUCUCUUUGAGAAAACGGUCAGCCCUCCUGAAAUAUAUUAGCAGUGCCUUUGUUGGUUCAUUAGGUGUGAUAAUUUAUCUACAUCUUCACAUGGUACCUUCAUUUGUGUAAAGGUCAUAUUGCUUCUAAUUGUCUUUGGACAUAAAAAAAAAAAAAACAUAUAAUUGUAUGGAAAACUUGAUCUCAAAUCAGGCAGGACUACCCGCUGAACUUAAGCAUAUCAAUAAGCGGAGGA